UACGGGGGGAGCAAGCGUUGUUCGGAUUUACUGGGCGUAAAGGGCGCGUAGGCGGUCAGCACAAGUCAAUUGUGAAAUCUCCGAGCUUAACUCGGAAAGGUCAACUGAAACUGUGCGACUAGAGUGCGGAAGGGGCAACUGGAAUUCUUGGUGUAGCGGUGAAAUGCGUAGAUAUCAAGAGGAACACCUGCGGCGAAGGCGGGUUGCUGGGCCGACACUGACGCUGAAGCGCGAAAGCGUGGGGAGCGAACAGG
rnacentral:rRNA from 1 species